rnacentral:lncRNA from 1 species
CACUGAGCCACAUCCCCAACCCUAUUUUGGAUUUUAUUUAGAGACAGGGUCUCAUUGAGUUGCUUAGCACCUCACUUUUGCUGAGGCUGGCUUUGAACAUGUGAUCCUACUACCUCAUUCUCCUGAGCUCCUGGGAUUAUAGGCAUGUGCCACCGUACCUGGCCUAAAAUUUCAAUAUUUUGAAUAUAUCCUUCCAUUCAGUGUUUUGAACAUACUGUUCUGUGGUUGGUGUGGUGGGGGCCAGACUAUAUAACUGGAGUCUGGCUGGGAACCAUAGGUGGAUGGGACCAUGAACUAUGCUCCUUAGUUUGCAGGGAUUCUGGCUUGACUCCUUACCCAGGUGGGGCUGAUAGCUAUUUUCCAUGGCUAUGAUGGACUCCUGGCUGGGUUCCUCAGUUAGGACCAACUGUGGGCUGUUGAUCUCUGGCCAGACGAGGCUAACUACUGAGUUACUUAUGUAUUUGGAGCUGAUGACAGAGUUGUAUGACCAGACAAUGCUGCUGGUAGGAACGUGUGCCACUGUUAAAACCUAUUUAUGAGUGGUUGUUAGCAUUGCCCUCUUUUUUUGUUCCUAGAUGAUUAUAGGUGGUACUAGAUGAUUAUAGGCCCUAGCAAUUUCUCCACCGUUCCCUGUAAGAUCAGAUAAAAGUGGUACUCCCAGAAAGUGCCCUAUAACACUGAAGAAGCUGAAUGUUUGCCUUGGGCUUUCUUCUCGCCUACUGGAGAAACCCUAGAACCAGGGGAACCUCUCAGUAUGGUGUUGUGCUGGCCUGGGGAAGAGGCAGUCUGUUCAAAAUGAA